rnacentral:rRNA from 1 species
AUUAAACGCUGGCGGCAUGCCUUACACAUGCAAGUCGAACGGCAGCACGGGGCAACCUGGUGGCGAGUGGCGAACGGGUGAGUAAAGCAUCGGAACGUGCCCUGGAGUGGGGGAUAACGUAGCGAAAGUUACGCUAAUACCGCAUAUUCUGUGAGCAGGAAAGCAGGGGAUCGCAAGACCUUGCGCUCUGGGAGCGGCCGAUGUCGGAUUAGCUAGUUGGUGGGUAAAGGCCUACCAAGGCGACGAUCCGUAGCGGGUCUGAGAGGAUGAUCCGCCACACUGGGACUGAGACACGGCCCAGACUCCUACGGGAGGCAGCAGUGGGGAAUUUUGGACAAUGGGCGGAAGCCUGAUCCAGCCAUGCCGCGUGAGUGAAGAAGGCC